UACAGAGGUCUCAAGCGUUGUUCGGAUUCAUUGGGCGUAAAGGGUGCGUAGGUGGCGCCAUAAGUCAGGUGUGAAAUCCUGGAGCUCAACUCCAGAACUGCCUUUGAUACUGGGAGUCUUGAGUUCGGGAGAGGUGAGUGGAACUGCGAGUGUAGAGGUGAAAUUCGUAGAUAUUCGCAAGAACACCAGUGGCGAAGGCGGCUCACUGGCCCGAUACUGACGCUGAGGUGCGAAAGCGUGGGGAGCAAACAGG
rnacentral:rRNA from 1 species